rnacentral:rRNA from 1 species
CCUACGGGAGGCAGCAGUAGGGAAUCUUCCACAAUGGGCGAGAGCCUGAAGGAGCAACGCCGCGUGGAUGAAGAAGGUCUUCGGAUCGUAAAACCCUGUUUAUAGAGAAGUAAGUGCGGGAGCGUAACCGUUCACGUUUCGACGGUAUCUAAACAGAUAGCCACGCCUAAUUACGUCCCAGCAGCCGCGGUAAUACGUAGGUGGCUAGCGUUAUCCGGUUUUAUUGGGUGUGAAGGGAGCGUAGGUGGUUUGUUAAGUCUGAUGUGAAAGCUUUCGGCUUAACCGUAGGAGUGCAUUGGAUACUGGGAGACUUGAGUAUAGUUGAGGUGGGCGGAACUCGAGGUGUAGCGGUGAAAUGCGUAGAUAUCAGGAAGAACCCCAGUGGCGAAAGCAGCUCACUGAUCUGUAACUGACACUGAGGUUCGAAAGCGUGGGUAGCAAACAGGAUUAGAUACCCGAGUAGUC